rnacentral:misc_RNA from 1 species
GUGGGGAGAAAGCGAGUUGCCGUGGAAGUUGGAGAGAAGAGUCAAGAGGUUGACGCAUUCCUUGCGAACGAGAGACUUGGAAGAGGAAUCGGUGUUGUGAAUGCAGUUAAGGAAAGGGGAGAAGGAGUCGUGGCUGAGGGUCUUAGCGAUAGUCUCCAGCUCGGUGGUGGCGAGAGAGAGAGUGUCGCGGUCGGAGAGCUUAUUGAGAGAGGNAGAGGUGAUGACCCGGUUCUUGAGAUCGUUGACCGUUGAAGGAGGACUAGGUGGAGAUCUUUUCUGAGGAGACAUUGUGAUGAACUCAAAUUUGUGGGUUUGUGUUCGUCUCAGUGGUUGUGCAUUGGCGGUGGCUAUAGCGGCAGUGCCGGUGGCGGGGGAGAUGAU